UACAGAGGGGGCAAGCGUUAUUCGGAAUUAUUGGGCGUAAAGGGCGCGUAGGCGGCUUGGCAAGUGGAAGGUGAAAUCCCUCGGCUCAACUGAGGAACUGCCUUUGAAACUGUACGCUUGAGGCCGGGAGGGGGUAGCGGAAUUCCCAGUGUAGCGGUGAAAUGCGUAGAUAUUGGGAGGAACACCAGUGGCGAAGGCGGCUACCUGGACCGGUUCUGACGCUGAGGCGCGAAAGCGUGGGUAGCAAACAGG
rnacentral:rRNA from 1 species